rnacentral:rRNA from 1 species
AAUGGCUGCAGUAAUUUGACUGUACAAAGGUAGCAUAAUCAUUAGUUUUUUAAUUAAAAGCUUGUAUGAAAGGUUGGACGAAGAAAAAUCUGUUUCUUUUUAAUGUAAUUAAAAUUUAAUUUUUAAGUUAAAAAGCUUAAAUUUUUAUAAAAGACGAGAAGACCCUAUAGAGUUUUAUAAUUUUAAUUUAAUAGUUGAUUUAGAUUUAUUUAUAUUAUUAUUUUAAUAUUAUUUUAUUGGGGUAAUAAAAAGAUUAGAAUAAUUCUUUUUUUAAAAACCAUUAAUUUAUGAAUAUUUGAUCCAUUAUUUAUGAUUAUAAGAUUAAAUUACCUUAGGGAUAACAGCGUAAUUUUUUUUAAGAGUUCAUAUCGAUAAAAAAGUUUGCGACCUCGAUGUUGGAUUAAAGAUUAAUUUAGGUGUAGAAGUUUAAAUAUUUGGUCUGUUCGACCAUUAAAUCUUUACAUGAUCUGAGUUCAAACCGGUGUAAGCCAGGUUGGUUUCUAUCUUUAUUAAGAUUAUAUAUUUUAGUACGAAAGGACCAAAUAUAGAAUAUAUUUAUAUUUUUUUAUUGAAUUA